rnacentral:rRNA from 1 species
AUUGAACGCUGGCGGCAGGCCUAACACAUGCAAGUCGAGCGGAUGACGGGAGCUUGCUCCUGGAUUCAGCGGCGGACGGGUGAGUAAUGCCUAGGAAUCUGCCUGGUAGUGGGGGACAACGUUUCGAAAGGAACGCUAAUACCGCAUACGUCCUACGGGAGAAAGCAGGGGACCUUCGGGCCUUGCGCUAUCAGAUGAGCCUAGGUCGGAUUAGCUUGUUGGUGAGGUAAUGGCUCACCAGGGCGACGAUCCGUAACUGGUCUGAGAGGAUGAUCAGUCACACUGGAACUGAGACACGGUCCAGACUCCUACGGGAGGCAGCAGUGGGGAAUAUUGGACAAUGGGCGAAAGCCUGAUCCAGCCAUGCCGCGUGUGUGAAGAAGGUCUUCGGAUUGUAAAGCACUUUAAGUUGGGAGGAAGGGUUGUAGAUUAAUACUCUGCAAUUUUGACGUUACCGACAGAAUAAGCACCGGCUAACUCUGUGCCAGCAGCCGCGGUAAUAC